rnacentral:rRNA from 1 species
UACGGAGGGUGCAAGCGUUAUCCGGAUUCACUGGGUUUAAAGGGUGCGUAGGCGGGUUGGUAAGACCGUGGUGAAAUCCCCAAGCUUAACUUGGGAACUGCCGUGGAUACUAUCAAUCUUGAAUAUCGUGGAGGUAAGCGGAAUAUGUCAUGUAGCGGUGAAAUGCUUAGAUAUGACAUAGAACACCAAUUGCGUAGGCAGCUUACUACACGAUCAUUGACGCUGAGGCACGAAAGCGUGGGGAGCAAACAGG